rnacentral:lncRNA from 10 species
ACACAUGGGACAGUUUUCCACUAUUUCAGCUGCUGAAUGAUUUUCUCCGUACUGACUAUAAUUUGUGCAAUGGAAAAUUUCACAAACACCUGCAAGACCUGUUUGCCCCACUUGUUGUUAGAUAUGUGGAUCUGAUGGAGUCCUCAAUUGCACAAUCCAUUCACAGGGGCUUUGAGCGGGAGUCAUGGGAACCAGUCAAUAAUGGGUCAGGCACCUCAGAAGAUCUGUUUUGGAAACUUGACGCCCUUCAGACCUUCAUUCGGGACCUGCACUGGCCUGAAGAAGAGUUUGGAAAGCACCUGGAACAACGGCUGAAGUUGAUGGCAAGUGACAUGAUCGAAUCUUGUGUCAAAAGGUAAGUAUAGGUGGCUGGACAGGUUCUGCACACCCUCCCCACCAUACACAGACUCAGGGAAGGGUAGAUGGCUGCUCUUUCAAUUGGCUGUAGUUUGAAACUAAUUGGAGAAGGGGAUUGCUUGUCAAAGUCAGCUGGAGUAGUGGCUGUCAACGUCUAACUUCCAUUCACCUGCCCUCCAUCUGUCCCAAACCCAAAAUAAUCUGGCUGCCAAUUUUUUCAUGGUUGUUGGCUUUAAGAGGAAAAGAUCCCUGU